AUGACCUUCUGGUUGGAAGAUAUGGAUCAACAACCAGAUUGGUUAAAGAUGGAAAAGGAAGAUUGUUUACCUUUUGAAAAUGGCUUGAUCUUGUUAACCCCUACAAAAUUGAAUAAAAAAACUUAUAGUGAAAAUCCGAUAAUAUAUAGUGGUAUACAAACUUGGAAACAAUUAAAAAUGACUUUAAAAUUGGAUAAUUUAUCACUCCUUCUCCCCGUUGUAAAUAACCCUUCAUUUAAACCUCCUGUGUUGCAACGAUAAAGGUUUUGUACAAUGGAAAACCCAUGGAAUUAAAAAGUUUCCUGUUUUACUUAAU